CCAUUCUGAGGUCCUCCAGCGCCAUUUUAGGGUCCUCCAACCUAAUUUUGAGGUCCUCCAGCCCCAUUUUGAGGUCCUCCAGCGCCAUUUUAGGGUCCUCCAGCGCCAUUUUGGGGUCCUCCAGUCC